UUCUUCUCUUCUGGAGGAUCCCAAAUGUAAACUGGAGAAACUAAGCCUGUCAAACUGCAGUAUCACAGAUGAAGGCUUCAGAUCUUUAGCAUCAGCACUGAGAUCAAACCCAUCAGCCCUCAGAGAGCUUCAGCUGGAUGGGAAUCGUCCUGGAGCCUCAGCACUGCAGCUGUUCUCUGAACUUCAGAAAGAUCCAAACUGUAAACAUAUCAAAAUAUCUGGACUCUCAUGAACCUAUUCACAUUUUAUUCCACAUUUAAAUAUUCCUCUACACUGUGUAUAAAACAAAUAAUUAUAUCUGAAGU